UACGGAGGGUGCGAGCGUUAAUCGGAAUUACUGGGCGUAAAGCGCACGUAGGCUGUAUAUCAAGUCAAGGGUGAAAUCCCCGGGCUCAACCUGGGAACUGCCUUUGAAACUGGUAAACUGGAGUAUGUGAGAGGGUGGCGGAAUUCCUGGUGUAGGAGUGAAAUCCGUAGAUAUCAGGAGGAACAUCAGUGGCGAAGGCGGCCACCUGGCACAAAACUGACGCUGAGGUGCGAAAGCGUGGGUAGCAAACAGG
rnacentral:rRNA from 1 species